AUGAAAGUAUCCUUCUCUCUGCCUUUUGUCACUACCCCGUCGUCAGCGAGUGGCACACCACCCUGUGUGGGCACCAUCCUUAACAUCCACAUCACCCUGCCUCAAAAGGAAGGAAGAAAGAAAAACCAGUCACCCAUGGCUACUUUCAGGUCUGAGCUACGGGGCUCAGAACUCGCCUACGGUCACCGGGCAGCUUCGAGACAAGAUGAAUUACUAGAUUGCAUAGCUUUGCAGAAAAACCCAACUACCUUCGGAAAAACAAAUGACGGCUUAUUCCGGUUGCUUCCUUAGAUCAAGCUCCCGUAAGCCACGGCACCAAAGAUUAAGCAACAAGGUCGCCUUGAGGCAAGUACAACGCCAGUCUAAGCAGGAACGUUUUAAGCUCGCGCAUGUUUCAACCACACAGAAUCUCCAAUAGCCAGACCUGGGACCAAUAAAUAGACGUGAUCUGGGGAAGGCAGGCAGCCUGCCUGUCAGAGCUGUACUAAGAAAAGAUAACCACGUCGCCCUCUGACUCAGCUGAACGUGGCUCCCAGAGUGUAUUUCCAUGGCACCAAGGUGAUCCAGCCCGUUUUCUCUUUACUUGCAAUAAAGCUCAGAGUCUAGACGAGCAUGUUGACUUGGAAAAAUAAAAUAAGAAAGCGUCCUCUGAACGCAUAAAUUUUCCUCACCCAAAAUUAGCUAAGAAGUUGGCACGAGGGUGUUUCUUCAGUGAACACUUCCCAAACCUUCUCUCUUUCACUCCUUGACGCAAGGAGCUGCUCAGCAAGUCCAGUCACUGAUAAAGUAGCUUCCUGAUUCUGGAGACCUGCACGGACUCCAAAGCCCUUCAGAAAUGAGAAUGGUGGCAGGUGAAAGACCAGAAGGGACCUCCCUGGCCAUUGCCUCAAGCCCUCCUCUCCGUGCACACUGGUGCAUGCUGGG